rnacentral:rRNA from 1 species
CCUACGGGUGGCUGCAGUGGGGAAUAUUGGACAAUGGGGGGAACCCUGAUCCAGCCAUGCCGCGUGUGUGAAGAAGUCCCUCGGGUUGUAAAGCACUUUCAGUGGGGAAGAACGCCUGGUGGUUAAUACCCAUCGGGAAAGACAUCACUCACAGAAGAAGCACCGGCUAACUCCGUGCCAGCAGCCGCGGUAAUACGGAGGGUGCGAGCGUUAAUCGGAAUUACUGGGCGUAAAGCGCGCGUAGGUGGCUUGAUAAGCCGGUUGUGAAAGCCCCGGGCUCAACCUGGGAACGGCAUCCGGAACUGUCAAGCUAGAGUGCUGGAGAGGUAGGUAGAAUUCCCGGUGUAGCGGUGAAAUGCGUAGAGAUCGGGAGGAAUACCAGUGGCGAAGGCGGCCUUCUGGACUGACACUGACACUGAGGUGCGAAAGCGUGGGUAGCAAACAGGAUUAGAUACCCUAGUAGUC